AUGGGCGCAAGCCUGAUGGAGCAACACCGCGUGAGUGAAGAAGGGUUUCGGCUCGUAAAGCUCUGUUGUUAAAGAAGAACACGUAUGAGAGUAACUGUUCAUACGUUGACGGUAUUUAACCAGAAAGUCACGGCUAACUACGUGCCAGCAGCCGCGGUAAUACGUAGGUGGCAAGCGUUAUCCGGAUUUAUUGGGCGUAAAGAGAGUGCAGGCGGUUUUCUAAGUCUGAUGUGAAAGCCUUCGGCUUAACCGGAGAAGUGCAUCGGAAACUGGAUAACUUGAGUGCAGAAGAGGGUAGUGGAACUCCAUGUGUAGCGGUGGAAUGCGUAGAUAUAUGGAAGAACACCAGUGGCGAAGGCGGCUACCUGGUCUGCAACUGACGCUGAGACUCGAAAGCAUGGGUAGCGAACAGGAUUAGAUACCCUGGUAGUCCAUGCCGUAAACGAUGAGUGCUAGGUGUUGGAGGGUUUCCGCCCUUCAGUGCCGGAGCUAACGCAUUAAGCACUCCGCCUGGGGAGUACGACCGCAAGGUUGAAACUCAAAGGAAUUGACGGGGGCCCGCACAAGCGGUGGAGCAUGUGGUUUAAUUCGAAGCUACGCGAAGAACCUUACCAGGUCUUGACAUCUUGC
rnacentral:rRNA from 2 species